UCACUAGUCUUUCGGGGAGAGUCUGAUGA
rnacentral:piRNA from 1 species